AUUGAACGCUGGCGGCAGGCCUAACACAUGCAAGUCGAACGAGUGGCGGACGGGUGAGUAAUGUCUGGGAAACUGCCUGAUGGAGGGGGAUAACUACUGGAAACGGUAGCUAAUACCGCAUACCAUCAGAUGUGCCCAGAUGGGAUUGGCUAGUGGGUGGGGUCACGGCGCACCAAGGCGACGAUCCCUAGCUGGUCUGAGAGGAUGACCAGCAACCUGGGAACUGGGAAACGGUCCAGACUCCUACGGGAGGAAGCAGUGGGGAAGAUUGCACAAUGGGCGAAAGCCUGAUGCAGCCAUGCCGCGUGUAUGAAGAAGGCCUUCGGGUGGUAAAGUACUUUCAGCGGGGAGGCGUUACCCGCAGAAGAAGCACCGGCUAACUCCGUGCCAGCAGCCGCGGUAAUAC
rnacentral:rRNA from 1 species